GAUGAACGCUGGCGGCGUGCCUAAUACAUGCAAGUCGAGCGAACGGACGAGAAGCUCGCUUCUCUGAUGUUAGCGGCGGACGGGUGAGUAACACGUGGAUAACCUACCUAUAAGACUGGGAUAACUUCGGGAAACCGGAGCUAAUAUCGGAUAAUAUUUUGAACCGCAUGGUUCAAAAGUGCUAGACGGUCUUGCUGACACUAAUAGAUGGAUCCGAGCUGCAUUAGCUAGUUGGUAAGGUAACGGCUUACCAAGGCAACGAUGAGUAGCCGACCUGAGAGGGUGAUCAGCCACACUGGAACUGAGACACGGUCCAGACUCCUACGGGAGGCAGCAGUAGGGAAUAUUCCACAAUGGGCGAAAGCCUGACGGAGCAACGCCGCGUGAGUGAUGAAGGUCUUCGGAUCGUAAAACUCUGUUAUUAGGGAAGAACAGAUGUGUGUGUAACUGUGCACAUCUUGACGGUACCUAAUCAGAAAGCCACGGCUAACUUCGUG
rnacentral:rRNA from 1 species